rnacentral:rRNA from 1 species
GACGAACGCUGGCGGCGUGCUUAACACAUGCAAGUCGUACGGUAAGGCCCUUUCGGGGGUACACGAGUGGCGAACGGGUGAGUAACACGUGAGUAACCUGCCCACAACUUUGGGAUAACGCUAGGAAACUGGUGCUAAUACUGGAUAUGUGCUCCUGCUGCAUGGUGGGGGUUGGAAAGCUCCGGCGGUUGUGGAUGGACUCGCGGCCUAUCAGCUUGUUGGUGGGGUAGUGGCCUACCAAGGCGGCGACGGGUAGCCGGCCUGAGAGGGUGACCGGCCACAUUGGGACUGAGAUAGGCCCAGACUCCUACGGGAGGCAGCAGUGGGGAAUAUUGCACAAUGGGCGCAAGCCUGAUGCAGCAACGCCGCGUGCGGGAUGACGGCCUUCGGGUUGUAAACCGCUUUCAGCAGGGACGAAGCUUUUUGUGACGGUACCUGCAGAAGAAGCACCGGCUAACUACGUG